rnacentral:pre_miRNA from 1 species
AAAAACGGGACUGUCCGUUUUAUAUAAAUUUUUUUUAUAAUUAGUAUUUUCAUUGUUGUUAGAUGAUAAAACAUAAUUAAUACUUUAUGCGUGACUUAUCUUUUUAAUUUUUUUUCAUAAUUUUUUUUAAAUAAGACGGACUGUCAAACGUUGGACACGGAAACCAGGGUU